rnacentral:rRNA from 1 species
GAUGAACGCUGACAGCAUGCUUAACACAUGCAAGUCUUUGGUGAAGCUGUGCUUGCACAGCCUAGCCAAGGCGGACGGGUGAGUAACGCGUAAGGAACUUGCCCUGCAGUCAGGGAUAACAGACGGAAACGACUGAUAAGACCUGGUAAAGUCAGGCGGACUCAUGUCCAGCCUGAUGAAAAGAGAUGCUGCAGGAGAGCCUUGCGUCCUAUUAGCUUGUUGGUGGGGUAACGGCCCACCAAGGCAAUGAUAGGUAGCCGGCCUGAGAGGGUGGACGGCCACAAGGGGACUGAGAUACGGCCCUUACUCCUACGGGAGGCAGCAGUGGGGAAUAUUGGACAAUGGGGGCAACCCUGAUCCAGCAAUUCUGUGUGCACGAUGAAGGUUUUCGGAUUGUAAAGUGCUUUCAGCAGGGAAGAAAAAAAUGACGGUACCUGCAGAAGAAGCGACGGCUAAAUACGUG